GUUGUUUCUGUUGUUGGCUAAAGCUUAACAAUGGUGCAAGAGGACCAGCCUUCUAACUACAACUCCCGGCAUCCCCGCAGGCGGGGUGACGCACUUCCGGCAGCUGUCCCGGCUUGGUUGGGGCUUUGCGCCGCUCGGAGGAACCGGGUUGGAGAGCUGUCAGCCUUCUGGGUCAUUCGGGGUCACCUUUGGCCUUGGCCCUGGGGGACGGGGCUGCGGGGUCAGCCUCAGCUGCUCGUAGGCCGCGGAGGAGACAAUGCUGGUGAGUCCAGUGUAGUGAUUCAGGAGAGACCUGAGAGAUGGUGUGAAGAUAAGAGCUUCCGCUUGGAAGAAGGCACAGCUAACCCGGCUUUCUAGUGAGCUGUGGCUUUGGUGGUCUAUCUCAAAGUGUGCUCUCCACAGUCUCCCUUUCACAAGCUAACAAAGCUCUGUGGUGACAGCUCAUCAUGGGUUCAACCACUAGGACAUCCACAUGCCCUGUUCCUGAUCCCACCCAGUCAGAGGAGUGGCUAGUGGUGCUCAUGAUCCACCAUGGACUUUGCAGAAAUGAAACAGUUCCAAAGAUUCUGGACUCAUCUGUGUGGCCUUGAAACCAUCUAUCAUGAAACCAUGACAACAGAUAACUGAAGCUGGCAUGGCAAGAAGCUAAUGGUCAGGGCUGCUCUCAGGCCCAGAGAACAUUGCAGAAGAGGCAGCAGAGAGAUCAAGAGCCUGAGGAUGGAGAAGAGUUGCUAUGACACUGUCUUCUAGAUAUGACGUGGCUGUUGUCAAACCUUGUCCUGACACACAGUCUUUCCACAUGGAUCCAAGCUCACAGAUUAGACUGGAUGGCUGGCCAGCAAGCUCCAGGGAUCCACCCGUUGCACCUUCUCAUGCUCUGGGAUUACAGAUAUACCUGGUUUUACAUUAGGAUGCUGAGGAUCAAACUCAGGUCCUCAUCCUUGCUCAGCAAGCACUGUACCAACUGAGUUAUCGCCCCACCCCCUCUUUCUUUGACCUUGGGUGAACUGGAAGGUUCUGGAAAUAUACCCAGAUUGAAAGAUUCAUCAGAUUAAGGAAGAGACCGGAAGUAGUGACAAGAUCCCUGAAUUCACACAGUAAGCUAUCAGCAGUGAUACGGGGCAGGAUAUGACAGAAAUAGGCAGCUCCUUCAUAACCUUUGUCAUAGAAAAUAGACCUUACCCACCUCAGAACAUGGCAACC
rnacentral:lncRNA from 1 species